UUCCACUGAGAAGAUAGUGGCGAACGGGGUGAGGUAACACGUGGGUAACCUGCCCCAGUAAGAGGGGGAUAACAUCCGGAAACGGGUGCUAAUACCGCAUAGUUUUCUUGAUCGCAUGAUUGAGAAAGGAAAGACGGCCUUUGUGCUGUCGCUUAUGGAUGGACCCGCGGCGUAUUAGUUAGUUGGUGAGGUAACGGCUCACCAAGACGAUGAUACGUAGCCGACCUGAGAGGGUGAUCGGCCACAUUGGGACUGAGACACGGCCCAAACUCCUACGGGAGGCAGCAGUAGGGAAUCUUCCGCAAUGGACGAAAGUCUGACGGAGCAACGCCGCGUGAGUGAAGAAGAUUUUUUCCGGGAUCGUAAAACUCUGUUGUCAGAGAAGAACAAGUUGGAGAGUUAACUGCUCCAGCCUUGACGGUAUCUGACCAGAAAGCCACGGCUAACUACGUGCCAGCCGCUGC
rnacentral:rRNA from 1 species